GCAAUGGUUUUAAAAUAGGGAAAAAGAGACUCUGACUCUGUUUGUGAGGGUUCGAAUCCUUCUCCCGCUGCCA
rnacentral:tRNA from 1 species